ensembl:snRNA U6 U6 spliceosomal RNA
GUGUUCACUUCCACAGCACAUAUACUAAAAUUGGAAUGGUACAGAGAAGAUUAGCAUGGCCCCUGUGCAAGGAUGACACCCAGAUUCAUGAAGUGUUCCACAUUUUU